CAGUAUAGUGUUUACUUAGUCAGGUACUGAGUGACUCUGAGCAUCAAUAAAAUUGCUCAAAGCAACUUGGUACCUAAUUUAGUGGAUACUGCAUACGACAGUCCCGUUCUUG
rnacentral:pre_miRNA from 1 species